rnacentral:tRNA from 1 species
GGGGCUAUGGGGUAGCUUGGUUCAUCCUCUCUGGUUUGGGGCCAGAAGACCCCGGUUCGAAUCCGGGUAGCCCCA